ensembl:snoRNA
AGCCUGUGAUGGUUUUAAGAGUAGUGGACAGAAGGGAUUUCUGAAAUUCUAUUCUGAGGCU